UGCAGUCGAGCGGAACGAGUUAUCUGAACCUUCGGGGGACGAUAACGGCGUCGAGCGGCGGACGGGUGAGUAAUGCCUAGGAAAUUGCCCUGAUGUGGGGGAUAACCAUUGGAAACGAUGGCUAAUACCGCAUAACGCCUACGGGCCAAAGAGGGGGACCUUCGGGCCUCUCGCGUCAGGAUAUGCCUAGGUGGGAUUAGCUAGUUGGUGAGGUAAUGGCUCACCAAGGCGACGAUCCCUAGCUGGUCUGAGAGGAUGAUCAGCCACACUGGAACUGAGACACGGUCCAGACUCCUACGGGAGGCAGCAGUGGGGAAUAUUGCACAAUGGGCGCAAGCCUGAUGCAGCCAUGCCGCGUGUGUGAAGAAGGCCUUCGGGUUGUAAAGCACUUUCAGUCGUGAGGAAGGUAGUGUAGUUAAUAGCUGCAUUAUUUGACGUUAGCGACAGAAGAAGCACCGGCUAACUCCGUGCCAGCAGCCGCGGUAAUACGGAGGGUGCGAGCGUUAAUCGGAAUUACUGGGCGUAAAGCGCAUGCAGGUGGUUUGUUAAGUCAGAUGUGAAAGCCCGGGGCUCAACCUCGGAAUUGCAUUUGAAACUGGCAGACUAGAGUACUGUAGAGGGGGGUAGAAUUUCAGGUGUAGCGGUGAAAUGCGUAGAGAUCUGAAGGAAUACCGGUGGCGAAGGCGGCCCCCUGGACAGAUACUGACACUCAGAUGCGAAAGCGUGGGGGAGCAAACAGGAUUAGAUACCCUGGUAGUCCACGCCGUAAACGAUGUCUACUUGGAGGUUGUGGCCUUGA
rnacentral:rRNA from 1 species